rnacentral:rRNA from 1 species
AGAACGCUGGCGGCGUGCCUAAUACAUGCAAGUCGAACGGUGUACCGCAAGGUAUACAGUGGCGAACGGGUGAGUAACGCGUUGGUGACCUGCCCCGAAGAGUGGGAUACCAGUUCGAAAGGACUGCUAAUACCGCAUGUGGUCUGGGAGUUUAGAAGUCUCAGACGAAAGGAGCAAUUCGCUUCGGGAGGGACCUGCGUCCCAUCAGCUAGUUGGUAAGGUAACGGCUUACCAAGGCGAUGACGGGUAGGGGACCUGAG